rnacentral:rRNA from 1 species
AUACGUAGGUGACAAGCGUUAUCCGGAUUUACUGGGCGUAAAGGGCGUGUAGGCGGGCGUGCAAGUCAGCUGUGAAAUCCAUGGGCUUAACCCGUGGGCUGCAGUUGAAACUGUAUGUCUUGAGUGAAGUAGAGGUAGGCGGAAUUCCGAGUGUAGCGGUAAAAUGCGUAGAUAUUCGGAGGAACACCGGUGGCGAAGGCGGCCUACUGGGCUUUAACUGACGCUGAGGCUCGAAAGUGUGGGGAGCAAACAGGAUUAGAUACCCUGGUAGUCCACGCAGUAAACGAUGAUUACUAGGUGUAGGGGGUAUCGACUCCCUCUGUGCCGCAGUUAACACAAUAAGUAUUCCGCCUGGGGAGUACGGCCGCAAGGUUGAAACUCAAAUGAAUUGGCGGGG